rnacentral:rRNA from 1 species
ACGUAGGGGACGAGCGUUGUCCGGAUUUACUGGGCGUAAAGGGCGCGUAGGCGGUCAUUUAAGUCAGCUGUGAAAUGGUUUGGCUUAACCGGAUCAUGCGGUUGAAACUGGAUGACUGGAGUGCUGGAGAGGCAAGUGGAAUUCCCAGUGGAGCGGUGGAAUGCGUGGAUAUUGGGAGGAGCAGCGGAGGCCAAGGCGACUUGCUGGCCAGCAUCCGCCGCUGGUGCGCGAAAGCCAGUGGUGGAGUCGG